rnacentral:pre_miRNA from 12 species
CCUGGUGUGUGAUAAAGUGCUUACAGUGCAGGUAGUGAUGAUUACCUGGUCUACUGCAGUGUGAGCACUUCUUUCCCACGCCGGA